rnacentral:rRNA from 1 species
CUCAGGACGAACGCUGGCGGCGUGCCUAAUACAUGCAAGUCGAACGCUUCUUUUUCCACCGGAGCUUGCUCCACCGGAAAAAGAAGAGUGGCGAACGGGGUGAGUAACACGUGGGUAACCUGCCCAUCAGAAGGGGAUAACACUUGGAAACAGGUGCUAAUACCGUAUAACAAUCAAAACCGCAUGGUUUUGAUUUGAAAGGCGCUUUCGGGUGUCGCUGAUGGAUGGACCCGCGGUGCAUUAGCUAGUUGGUGAGGUAACGGCUCACCAAGGCCACGAUGCAUAGCCGACCUGAGAGGGUGAUCGGCCACAUUGGGACUGAGACACGGCCCAAACUCCUACGGGAGGCAGCAGUAGGGAAUCUUCGGCAAUGGACGAAAGUCUGACCGAGCAACGCCGCGUGAGUGAAGAAGGUUUUCGGAUCGUAAAACUCUGUUGUUAGAGAAGAACAAGGAUGAGAGUAACUGUUCAUCCCUUGACGGUAUCUAACCAGAAAGCCACGGCUAACUACGUGCCAGCAGCCGCGGUAAUACGUAGGUGGCAAGCGUUGUCCGGAUUUAUUGGGCGUAAAGCGAGCGCAGGCGGUUUCUUAAGUCUGAUGUGAAAGCCCCCGGCUCAACCGGGGAGGGUCAUUGGAAACUGGGAGACUUGAGUGCAGAAGAGGAGAGUGGAAUUCCAUGUGUAGCGGUGAAAUGCGUAGAUAUAUGGAGGAACACCAGUGGCGAAGGCGGCUCUCUGGUCUGUAACUGACGCUGAGGCUCGAAAGCGUGGGGAGCAAACAGGAUUAGAUACCCUGGG